CUCCAACACUAUCAGACCAAAGCGUUCCCGUCAUCUCUCAGUUCAUUUGGUUGACUCUGGACUCGGGGCAAACCCUGCUCUGAAGAGCAUGGAAUGGGAAAUCUGGUGCGGAGCUGGCCAACGAGGACUAUGUUGUCACUGCAGGACUCUGGAGUCCUCCUCAAGUUUGGAAUCCACCAGGACCUGCUCCUUUCUGGGAGGCAACACGGUCUGGAGGCUGUCAGAGACAGGCAAGGGAAGAAAAAAUCAGUACAAC